UGGGGAAUAUUGCACAAUGGAGGGAACUCUGAUGCAGCGACGCCGCGUGAAUGAAGAAGGCUUUCGAGUCGUAAAGUUCUUUUAUAUGGGAAGAUAAUGACGGUACCAUAAGAAGAAGCCCCGGCUAACUACGUGCCAGCAGCCGCGGGAAUACGUAGGGGGCUAGCGUUGUCCGGAAUCACUGGGCGUAAAGGGUUCGCAGGCGGAAAUGCAAGUCAGGUGUAAAAGGCAGUAGCUUAACUACUGUAAGCAUUUGAAACUGCAUAUCUUGAGAAGAGUAGAGGUAAGUGGAAUUUUUAGUGUAGCGGUGAAAUGCGUAGAUAUUAAAAAGAAUACCGGUGGCGAAGGCGACUUACUGGGCUCAUUCUGACGCUGAGGAACGAAAGCGUGGGUAGCAAACAGG
rnacentral:rRNA from 1 species